rnacentral:rRNA from 1 species
AACGGCUGGCGGCGUGCCUAAUACAUGCAAGUCGAACGGUCUUUCUAUGGAAGCUUGCUUCCACUGAGAAGAUAGUGGCGAACGGGUGAGUAACACGUGGGUAACCUGCCCAUAAGAGGGGGGAUAACAUCCGGAAACGGGUGCUAAUACCGCAUAGUUUUCUUGAUUGCAUGAUUGAGAAAGGAAAGACGGCCUUUGUGCUGUCGCUUAUGGAUGGACCCGCGGCGUGUUAGUUAGUUGGUGAGGUAACGGCUCACCAAGACGAUGAUACGUAGCCGACCUAAGAGGGUGAUCGGCCACAUUGGGACUGAGACACGGCCCAAACUCCUACGGGAGGCAGCAGUAGGGAAUCUUCCGCAAUGGACGAAAGUCUGACGGAGCAACGCCGCGUGAGUGAAAGAAGGUUUUCGGAUCGUAAAACUCUGUUGUCAGAGAAGAACAAGUUGGAGAGUAACUGCUCCAGCCUUGACGGUAUCUGACCAGAAAGCCACGGCUAACUACGUGCCAGCCGCCGC